AGGCUGGUAGCGGAGUGAUCAGUGCAUUUGUCUAGUAUCAGAAAGGUCCUAGGUUCGACUCCUAGCUAGCUUA